CUAAAGUUUGACUCUAGCUAACUGUUUUCUACUUGAUUUAAGUGCAUGUAAAUAUAAAUGUGACAAUAAAAAUAACCUGAAAGGUAAGAUAAUCAACUUAAUAAAAUAACAAUGUUUAAAUUCUCAGCACAUAAUAUUAGUUCAUUAGUGAAAACUAGAACUAGAAAUUCUUUAUAAAUCUGGCUAAAUUUGUGCCAGCCGCCGCGGUUAUACUGUGAGAUUGAGUGAACAAAAAUUGGUUAAAAAAGAUUAUUAUAAACUUUGUAAAAAUAAUAACAAGAAAUUAGGCAUGAGUGAAAUAAAUAACUAAAUUACUGAUAUUAUAUAAAAAUACGUAAGAAGUCUGCAAAUUUAAGAUAUAAACCAGGAUUAGAUACCCUGCUAUACUUUAAUAAAAUCUCUUAGAACCAGGGUAGUACACAGCUAUAAUCUUGAAACCCAAAGAGUUUGGCGGUAUCUCAGCCUGGUUAGAGGAGCUUGUCCGGUAAUCGAUAAUCCGCGAAAAAUCUUACACACUGUGGUAGUCAGCUUAUAUACCGUCGUUGUCAGAUAAUAUUGAAAAAUAAAAAAUUAUCUAAAAAUAUUAAAAUAUAAUAUAUCAGAUCAAGGUGUAGCUUAUAAGUGUGAUUGGAUGAGCUACAAUUUAAUAAAAUAAAAACGAAUCUCUUCUUAAAAAAGAAGAUUGAAGGUGGAUUUAAUAGUAAUAGCAGCUUUAGUAAGUUAUUAUGAUAUUAGCUCUGAGAUAUGUACACAUCGCCCGUCGCUCUCACUACAAGGUGAGAUAAGUCGUAACAUAGUAGGGGUACUGGAAAGAGCCCCUAGAAC
rnacentral:ncRNA from 1 species